AGAAUCAACGCUGGCGGCGUGCCUAACACAUGCAAGUCGAACGCGAUUAUCCAGCAAUGGAUAGUUGAGUGGCGAACGGGUGAGUAACACGUGGGUGACCUACCUUCGAGUGGGGGAUAACGUCCCGAAAGGGACGCUAAUACCGCAUAACAUCCUGCCUUUGAACAGGUGGAGAUCAAAGCCGGGAUCGCAAGACCUGGCGUUUGAAGAGGGCCCGCGUCCGAUUAGCUAGUUGGUGAGGUAACGGCUCGACCAAGGCGACG
rnacentral:rRNA from 1 species